UACGAGGGGGGCAAGCGUUGUUCGGAUUUAUUGGGCGUAAAGGGUGCGUAGGCGGUUUGGCAAGUCUUAUGUGAAAUCUUCGGGCUCAACCCGAAGCCUGCAUAAGAAACUGCCGGGCUUGAGUAUGGGAGAGGUGAGUGGAAUUUCCGGUGUAGCGGUGAAAUGCGCAGAUAUCAGGAGGAACACCGGUGGCGAAGGCGGUUCUCUGGGCCUUACCUGACACUGAGGAGCGAAAGCGUGGGGAGCAAACAG
rnacentral:rRNA from 1 species